GACGAACGCUGGCGGCGUGCUUAACAUAUGCCAGUCGUACGGUAAGGCCCUUUCGGGGGUACACGAGUGGCGAACGGGUGAGUAACACGUGAGUAACCUGCCCACAACUUUGGGAUAACGCUAGGAAACUGGUGCUAAUACUGGAUAUGUGCUCCUGCUGCAUGGUGGGGGUUGGAAAGCUCCGGCGGUUGUGGAUGGACUCGCGGCCUAUCAGCUUGUUGGUGGGGUAGUGGCCUACCAAGGCGGCGACGGGUAGCCGGCCUGAGAGGGUGACCGGCCACAUUGGGACUGAGAUACGGCCCAGACUCCUACGGGAGGCAGCAGUGGGGAAUAUUGCACAAUGGGCGCAAGCCUGAUGCAGCAACGCCGCGUGCGGGAUGACGGCCUUCGGGUUGUAAACCGCUUUCAGCAGGGACGAAGCUUUUUGUGACGGUACCUGCAGAAGAAGCACCGGCUAACUACGUG
rnacentral:rRNA from 1 species